rnacentral:rRNA from 1 species
UCUAGGCAAUUGCGAGUCGAGAGGUGCAAGACCUCGGCGCACUGCUCAGUAACACGUGGACAACCUACCCUGUGGAGGGGGAUAACCCCGGAAAACUGGGGAUAAUACCCCAUAGGUUAGGGAGGCUGGAAUGCCCCCUAGCUCAAAGGUCCGCCGCCACAGGAUGGGUCUGCGGCCGAUUAGGUUGUUGUUGGGGUAACGGCCCAACAAGCCUUUGAUCGGUACGGGUUGUGGGAGCAAGAGCCCGGAGAUGGAUUCUGAGACACGAAUCCAGGCCCUACGGGGCGCAGCAGGCGCGAAAACUUUACAAUGCGAGAAAUCGUGAUAAGGGAACCCCGAGUGCCCGUAAAUUCGGGCUGUCCGCCAGUGCAAAAAACUGGUGAAGAAAGAGCCGGGCAAGACCGGUGCCAGCCGCCGCGGUAAUACCGGCGGCUCGAGUGGUGGCCACUAUUACUGGGCUUAAAGCGUCCGUAGCUUGGUUGUUAAGUCUCCUGGGAAAUCCAUCGGCUCAACCGAUGGGCGUUCAGGAGAUACUGGCAACCUAGGGACCGGGAGAGGUGAGAGGUACUCCAGGGGUAGGAGUGAAAUCCUGUAAUCCUUGGGGGACCACCUGUGGCGAAGGCGUCUCACUAGAACGGCUCCGACAGUGAGGGACGAAAGCUGGGGGAGCAAACCGGAUUAGAUACCCGGGUAGUCCCAGCUGUAAACGAUGCGCGUUAGGUGUAUCGGUGACCACGAGUCACCGAGGUGCCGAAGAGAAAUCGUGAAACGUGCCGCCUGGGAAGUACGGUCGCAAGGCUGAAACUUAAAGGAAUUGGCGGGGGAGCACCACAACAGGUGGAGCCUGCGGUUUAAUCGGACUCAACGCCGGGAAGCUCACCGGAUAAGACAGCUGAAUGAUAGCCGGGUUGAAGACUCUGCUUGACUAGCUGAGAGGAGGUGCAUGGCCGUCGUCAGUCGUACUGAGGAAU